rnacentral:lncRNA from 1 species
CAUGAUGUCUCAGUGGUUUUUCCUCAAGCAGAGGAUGAUCCAUGGGUUGUUUUUUAAAUUAUUCUAUAAUAUUGAAUGUAGAAAUAUGAUUUUACGGGCUGACUUGCAAUUCUUUUUAUUGAUACUCACCUAGCUUGCAGGCUGUUAUUUCUGAGGCGAGGACUCAACAGGCUGCAUCCUUGACGGAAAUUUAACUGGCUUGGGCACAAAUAUCUGAUCUCUAAUGCGAAAACUCGAGUUUCCAUACUUAAAGGUUUGACAUGCCACCUGGCUUUCCUCUAGUGUUGACUGACUUUCCAUUGAUAAUUUUGUAUCGCGUUUUAUCUUACAGCUACGUACAC